CGCACUGCAUGGUAUCUGCACUCAGCAGCUCCCUCCUGCUGGUGUGUUCAAAGAACAGUGCGAUAGAAAUUCACUGGCAUCACUGUUUUUCUUGGAUUUAGUACCUAUUAAACCUGGUAUUUCUAUUGAUGCAGUU
ensembl:snoRNA